rnacentral:rRNA from 1 species
GAUGAACGCUGGCGGCGUGCCUAAUACAUGCAAGUCGAGCGAACAGACGAGGAGCUUGCUCCUCUGACGUUAGCGGCGGACGGGUGAGUAACACGUGGAUAACCUACCUAUAAGACUGGGAUAACUUCGGGAAACCGGAGCUAAUACCGGAUAACAUGUUGAACCGCAUGGUUCAACAGUGAAAGACGGUCUUGCUGUCACUUAUAGAUGGAUCCGCGCCGCAUUAGCUAGUUGGUAAGGUAACGGCUUACCAAGGCAACGAUGCGUAGCCGACCUGAGAGGGUGAUCGGCCACACUGGAACUGAGACACGGUCCAGACUCCUACGGGAGGCAGCAGUAGGGAAUCUUCCGCAAUGGACGAAAGCCUGACGGAGCAACGCCGCGUGAGUGAUGAAGGUCUUCGGAUCGUAAAACUCUGUUAUUAGGGAAGAACAAAUGUGUAAGUAACUAUGCACGUCUUGACGGUACCUAAUCAGAAAGCCACGGCUAACUACGUG